AGGGGUGAGGAGGCGGGGCUAAUGCGGAGUCAGGAGCACGGAGAGCGGGCAGUCCUGAGGCGCCGAUACCCGGACAGCACGAUGCAGUUUAUGCUGCUUUUUAGCCGUCAAGGGAAACUUCGACUGCAAAAAUGGUAUGUUCCCCUGUCAGAUAAAGAAAAGAAAAAAAUUACAAGGGAGCUUGUCCAGACAGUCUUGGCUCGCAAACCCAAGAUGUGCAGCUUUCUGGAAUGGAGAGACCUGAAGAUUGUGUAUAAAAGGUAUGCAAGUCUUUAUUUCUGCUGUGCUAUUGAGGACCAGGACAAUGAGCUCAUAACCCUUGAGAUUAUCCAUCGUUAUGUUGAACUCCUAGACAAGUAUUUUGGAAGUGUCUGCGAACUUGACAUUAUCUUUAACUUUGAGAAGGCUUAUUUUAUCUUGGAUGAGUUCUUGUUAGGAGGAGAAGUGCAGGAGACUUCAAAGAAGAAUGUACUGAAAGCAAUCGAACAAGCUGAUCUGCUGCAGGAGAACCAAAACGAAGACUGGGGAAGUUUGUCAGCUGACGAUAUCUUAUGAUUGAAAGAAAUCUUAGGCUAUUGGCCUGUUUUGGCUUCCCAUCCAGACCAUUGGAAGCUGAGACCCCCCGUAGCGUGCUGGAAGAAAUUGGACUCACAUAAGUCUUUCGUUAAAGUGAAUCUUACCCCAAAUAUUUCAAUCUAGAUUUCACUGCUUUAAUUGUAAUGUUGGCUACUAUUGCAGGAUGCUGUCUUUUUAUUUUUUUUGGUGUUUUGGUUAGAGAAGUUGAACUUCCAACAUUUUUCAUUAUGUUAAAAAAAGGGAUAUUUUUGAGUUCAAAAUUUGAGUUAAAUGGAGGCUUGGCUUAAAUUCAUAAGGUUGACAAUGUUUCCUUUUUUCCAAAAUGCAAUGAAAAUGAAUAUUUAUGAGCAGUGCGACUAUUUGCAGUAUGUGACAUGAGCUGCAAACUAGCGGGUCUAUACAAACCGACCUCCCCAUGUUGAUACUGUUUAGUUGGCUCGAGGAAUCGGACAUGAUGUUUGUUAUCAAUUAUUGUUAAAUGCAAGUUGCCCUCUUUUUUGCUAAAGUGAAAAUCCUUCUUCAGAGUGGCAAGGUGCCAUAUUUUUCAUUUGUAUCACGUAUAUGUUCCAGCCUCAGUUUAUGCUUAAAAUCAAAAGUUCACAAUAUACCAAAGCAACCAGUGUUGACAACUAUUUUUGUGUUUUGAAAACUAAUUUAUUUUUUAAAUGCAUUUUUGCAGCCUACAUCCAUGGGCUUGGUUCAGUUUGUAUUUUUAAUAAUCUCAAAAUCAGAUGUGUCUUUAAAAGGGUCACUCAUAUCAGUGGAACGUGAUACAAUUUAAGAGGGAUAAGGAAAGGGAUUUAGUUCAGUAGUGUGCUGUAAUCAUGUAAAAAAAAAUCAAUUUUCAAUUAUGUAGAGUAACGUUUGAUACCAGUGUGGUACCUGCAGUUCUUCUGAGGUCUGAGCUUCACUUCUGAUAUCUGGCACUAUUGCCCCUCAUCAGAAGAAACAGAUUGCUGAAGCUUCAUUUGACACUAAUCAGUUUACAUUUUAAAAAGGUUUGAAUCAGUUAUGAAUACAGUAUAUAGUUUUGCUAUUCCAAAUAUGUAAAAAGAAAUCAAAGUAUUGUCAGUUUACAAAACAAAUGAUUAUAGUUUUCAAUAGUGGUGAGUAAUUUCGAUUGUUUCUCCGAAACAUUUUUGUACGCUUUUCAACUGAGCUUGGUCUUAUGGUGAUGAUUUAUUCAAUGUUGUUUCAAAAAUAAUCUUGUUCCUCAAGCCAAAUCAUGCCGUUCAACUUGGUUUACAGGUGUUUAAAUUCAUUUUCGGUCAAUUAGUCAAUAGCUUAACUAAUUUGUGUUCUGCAAAAACGUAGCAAGCGUGUAUCUGUUUAAAUGCUGCUGACUAGCCAAUGCUGGCGUAAAGCUGUGUGGUCAUCCAGCGGUUUAAUGUCUUCAUUUUUCAUGAACACAGUGAAAGUAUUACAACAUACAUGUACAAGAGACAAAAUAAUAAAUGUGAUUUGUAAUAUAAAA